rnacentral:rRNA from 1 species
GACGAACGCUGGCGGCGUGCCUAACACAUGCAAGUCGAACGAAGCAUAGCAAUAUGCUUAGUGGCGGACGGGUGAGUAACGCGUGAACAAUCUGCCCUGUACAAAGGAAUAGCCUCGGGAAACCGGGAUUAAAACCGUAUGACACUUUAGUAUCGCAUGAUAAGAAAGUCAAAUCGAUUAGAGGUAUGGGAUGAGUUCGCGUCUGAUUAGCUGGUUGGCGGGGUAACGGCCCACCAAGGCGACGAUCAGUAGCCGGCCUGAGAGGGUGAACGGCCACACUGGAACUGAGACACGGUCCAGACUCCUACGGGAGGCAGCAGUGGGGAAUAUUGCACAAUGGAGGGAACUCUGAUGCAGCGACGCCGCGUGAGUGAAGAAGGUCUUCGGAUCGUAAAACUCUGUCCUUGGUGAAGAAAAGGACGGUAGCCAAGGAGGAAGCCCCGGGCUAACUACGUGCCAGCAGCCGCGGUAAGCUGUAGUCGU